CACGUAGGGCGCAAGCGUUGUCCGGAAUUAUUGGGCGUAAAGAGCUCGUAGGCGGUCCGUCACGUCCGCUGUGAAAACCCAGGGCUCAACCCUGGGCUUGCAGUGGAUACGGGCAGACUAGAGGUAGGUAGGGGAGAAUGGAAUUCCCGGUGUAGCGGUGAAAUGCGCAGAUAUCAGGAGGAACACCGGUGGCGAAGGCGGAUCUCUGGGCCUUACCUGACGCUGAGGCGCGAAAGCUAGGGGAGCAAACAGG
rnacentral:rRNA from 1 species